rnacentral:lncRNA from 1 species
GAUGAUAUAUGAGUUGUGAAUACCAACAUUAUAUCUAUAGAGAAUGGCCACUUUAUUUUUUAUUUUUAUUUGCUCUAUUUUUAUCAAGUGAAUUAUGUUGGUACAUGGAGACAUAUUUGUUUAUGAAGAUAGUGUGGGGACCCGGCACAAAAAUUAUUGCCAAUUUUUGUUUCAGAAAGGACAAAUAAGAAAAGCUACUUUCA